ACGCUGGCGGCAGGCCUAACACAUGCAAGUCGAGCGGUAGAGAGAAGCUUGCUUCUCUUGAGAGCGGCGGACGGGUGAGUAAUGCCUAGGAAUCUGCCUGGUAGUGGGGGAUAACGUUCGGAAACGGACGCUAAUACCGCAUACGUCCUACGGGAGAAAGCAGGGGACCUUCGGGCCUUGCGCUAUCAGAUGAGCCUAGGUCGGAUUAGCUAGUUGGUGAGGUAAUGGCUCACCAAGGCGACGAUCCGUAACUGGUCUGAGAGGAUGAUCAGUCACACUGGAACUGAGACACGGUCCAGACUCCUACGGGAGGCAGCAGUGGGGAAUAUUGGACAAUGGGCGAAAGCCUGAUCCAGCCAUGCCGCGUGUGUGAAGAAGGUCUUCGGAUUGUAAAGCACUUUAAGUUGGGAGGAAGGGUUGUAGAUUAAUACUCUGCAAUUUUGACGUUACCGACAGAAUAAGCACCGGCUAACUCUGUGCCAGCAGCCGCGGUAAUACAGAGGGUGCAAGCGUUAAUCGGAAUUACUGGGCGUAAAGCGCGCGUAGGUGGUUUGUUAAGUUGGAUGUGAAAUCCCCGGGCUCAGCCUGGGAACUCCAUUCAAAACUGACUGACUAGAGUAUGGUAGAGGGUGGUGGAAUUUCCUGUGUAGCGGUGAAAUGCGUAGAUAUAGGAAGGAACACCAGUGGCGAAGGCGACCACCUGGACUAAUACUGACACUGAGGUGCGAAAGCGUGGGGAGCAAAC
rnacentral:rRNA from 1 species